UCAAUGGUCAGCUGUCUGAGGUCUAGGCCUGUUUUUUUCCUGAUUGCAACAUUCAACAAUGAUCUUCUUGACCCUCCCUGUUUCACAACAGAACAAACUAGUUAUGGAAGUCCUCACCAUAGGAAUGUGAGCCUUUACAGACAAGGAGUUUUGGACAGCCUCUUGUAAGGUGUUUAUAAAGUGGGUUUUGAUGGUUCAAAGGGCCAGAGAUCGACCUCUCAUCAUCAGCAACAUGCAGUAACUGGGGUGUCUGGCAUGCUUGAAUGGGAAAUAAUGUUUGGGUCAAGAAGACUUUUACUGAUGCAGUGUGGGGAAAGGGGACUUUCAAGAGUUUCAACUUUUUGCUGGAUGAAGCAGGGCAUGCGUAGAGAACAUCUGUGAGACAGGAGGCAGCAGGUUGCACAGCAAUGUGUGGAUGACCCAUAUGCUGUCAAUGCAGUAGUGGUGAUUGAAGACCAAUCCUUCCCCCUCUGGAGGAAUCAUCUCACUGUCCCACAGCAAUGUGUGGAUGAUCCGUAUGGCUUCAACGCCACAAUGGUGAUUGGGGACAGAUCCUUCCCCCUUAGGAUUUCAACUCCCGGUCUUAGCCGCUAGGCCCUUGCCAGAACCUUGCAAUGACGGCGUGGAACCACUGGGAGUAUCCAUGGAAACUUGCCUGGACUGGGAGAGAGUCCAGCCAAAGAGGUCGGAAGAGGAAGAAGAGGAGAACAUAAGGGAACAUAGUUAUAUCAAAGAUCCUUGAUUACUAGCUCCGUUUUAACCCUCUCUGGAUAUAUAUAGAAUGGCUAGAUGUCUCGUCUGUGUUGCUGGCUAAUGGAGUCGAAUGUCCGCAUAUGGCGGCCAUCUUUCAACCGAUUUGGUUUAUUAUAAUCA